AAAUUGAAGAGUUUGAUCAUGGCUCAGAUUGAACGCUGGCGGCAGGCCUAACACAUGCAAGUCGAACGGUAGCACAGAGAGCUUGCUCUCGGGUGACGAGUGGCGGACGGGUGAGUAAUGUCUGGGAAACUGCCCGAUGGAGGGGGAUAACUACUGGAAACGGUAGCUAAUACCGCAUAAUGUCGCAAGACCAAAGAGGGGGACCUUCGGGCCUCUUGCCAUCGGAUGUGCCCAGAUGGGAUUAGCUAGUAGGUGGGGUAACGGCUCACCUAGGCGACGAUCCCUAGCUGGUCUGAGAGGAUGACCAGCCACACUGGAACUGAGACACGGUCCAGACUCCUACGGGAGGCAGCAGUGGGGAAUAUUGCACAAUGGGCGCAAGCCUGAUGCAGCCAUGCCGCGUGUAUGA
rnacentral:rRNA from 1 species